UCCGGGGGGAGCAAGCGUUGUUCGGAUUUACUGGGCGUAAAGGGCGCGUAGGCGGUCAGCACAAGUCAGUUGUGAAAUCUCCGGGCUUAACUCGGAAAGGUCAACUGAUACUGUGCGACUAGAGUGCAGAAGGGGCAACUGGAAUUCUCGGUGUAGCGGUGAAAUGCGUAGAUAUCGAGAGGAACACCUGCGGCGAAGGCGGGUUGCUGGGCUGACACUGACGCUGAGGCGCGAAAGCCAGGGGAGCGAACGGG
rnacentral:rRNA from 1 species